rnacentral:rRNA from 1 species
AGAGUUUGAUCCUGGCUCAGAACGAACGCUGGCGGCGUGCCUAACACAUGCAAGUCGAGCGCGAAAGUCCCUUCGGGGGCGAGUAGAGCGGCGGACGGGUGAGUAAUACAUGGAUAAUCUCCCUUCGAGCUCGGGAUAACACUGCGAAAGCGGUGCUAAUACCGGAUAAGACCACGUCACCCAGGUGAUGCGGUAAAAGAUGGCUUUGUUUUCGGAUGAGGCUAUCACUUAAGGAUGAGUCCAUGGCCUAUCAGCUUGUUGGUGAGGUAAAGGCUCACCAAGGCGAUGACGGGUAGCUGGUCUGAGAGGACGACCAGCCACACUGGGACUGAGACACGGCCCAGACUCCUACGGGAGGCAGCAGUGGGGAAUAUUGGGCAAUGGGCGAAAGCCUGACCCAGCGACGCCGUGUGGGCGAUGAAGGCCUUCGGGUUGUAAAGCCCUGUUGGGUGGAAAGAAGGGCUCUAGGACGAAUAAUCCCUGAGUCUUGACGGUACCACCAGAGGAAGCACCGGCUAACUCCGUGCCAGCAGCCGCGGUAAUACGGAGGGUGCAAGCGUUGUUCGGAAUUACUGGGCGUAAAGGGCGCGUAGGUGGUUGUGUAAGUCAGAUGUGAAAUCCCGAGGCUCAACCUCGGAACUGCAUCUGAUACUGCAUGACUAGAGUGCAGCAGAGGGAAACGGAAUUCCCAGUGUAGAGGUGAAAUUCGUAGAUAUUGGGAGGAACACCGGUGGCGAAGGCGGUUUCCUGGGCUGACACUGACACUGAGGCGCGAAAGCGUGGGUAGCAAACAGGAUUAGAUACCCUGGUAGUCCACGCUGUAAAC